rfam:Gorilla gorilla gorilla genomic chromosome, chr4, whole genome shotgun sequence
GCUGGGCAUGGUGGCGUGUGCCUGUAGUUCCAGCUACUUGGGUGGCUGAGGUGGGAGAAUCACUUGAGCCCGGGAGGUCAAGGCUGCAGUGAGCCGUGACUGUACCACUGCACUCCAGCCUGGGUGACAGAGUGAGAACCCAACUCAA